GCCUACGGGGCGCAGCAGUGAGGAAUAUUGGUCAAUGGGCGAGAGCCUGAACCAGCCAAGUCGCGUGAGGGAGUACUGCCCUAUGGGUUGUAAACCUCUUUUGUCGGGGAGCAAAAGACGCCACGUGUGGCGUUCCGAGAGUACCCGAAGAAAAAGCAUCGGCUAACUCCGUGCCAGCAGCCGCGGUAAUACGGAGGAUGCGAGCGUUAUCCGGAUUUAUUGGGUUUAAAGGGUGCGCAGGCGGAAGAUCAAGUCAGCGGUAAAAUUGAGAGGCUCAACCUCUUCGAGCCGUUGAAACUGGUUUU
rnacentral:rRNA from 1 species